GUAAAAAGUAGAAUAAUAGAUUUGAAAUAUUUAUUAUAUAGAUUUAAAGAGAUAAUCAUGGAGUAUAAAUUAUUAAAUAAGAUAAGAUUUAAUAAUAACUAUUAAUAGGAUUAGGUUACUAAUAAAUUAAUAAUAAUUAAUUUAAAAACCUAAAGGUAAACCUUUAUAUUAAUAAUAUAUAUAUUUAUAUUAUUAAUAAUAAUAAGAACUAAGUGAACUGAAACAUCUAAGUAACUUAAGGAAUAUAAAUCAACAGAGAUAUUAUGAGUAUUGGUGAGAGAAAAUAAUAAAGGUCUAAUAAGUAUUAUGUAAGAAGUAUGUAAGAAAAUAGGAUAACAAAUUCUAAGACUAAAUACUAUUAAUAAGUAUAAUAAGUACCGUAAGGGAAAGUAUGAAAAUGAUUAUUUUAUAAGCAAUCAUGGAUAUAAUUUUAAUAUUAAUGAUGUACCUUUUGUAUAAUGGGUCAGCAAGUAAUUAAUAUUAGUAAAACAAUAAAGUUAUAAAUAAAUAGAAAAAGUAUAUAUAUAAAAAAAUAUAUUAAAAUAUUUAAUUAAUAUUAAUUGACCCGAAAGCAAACGAUCUAACUAUGAUAAGAUGGGUAAACGAUCGAACAGGUUGAUGUUGCAAUAUCAUCUGAUUAAUUGUGGUUAGUAGUGAAAGACAAAUCUGGUUUGCAGAUAGCUGGUUUUCUAUGAAAUAUAUGUAAGUAUAGCCUUUAUAAAUAAUAAUUAUUAUAUAAUAUUAAAAUAAUAUUAUAUAAAGAAUGGUACAGCAAUUAAUAUAUAUUAGGGAACUAUAAAAGUUUUAUUAAUAAUAUUAAAUCUCGAAAUGUUUAAUUAUAUAUAAUAAAGAGUCAGAUUAUGUGCGAUAAGGUAAAUAAUCAAAAGGGAAACAGCCCAGAUUAAGAUAUAAAGUUCCUAAUAAAUAAUAAGUGAAAAAAAUAUUAAAAUAUUAUAAUAUAAUCAGUUAAUGGGUUUGACAAUAACCAUUUUUUAAUGAACAUGUAACAAUGCACUGAUUUAUAAAAAUAAAAUAAUAUUUAAAAUCAAAUAUAUAUAUAUAUUUUUGUUAAUAGAUAAUAUACGGAUCUUAAUAAUAAUAAGAAUUAUUUAAUUCCAAAAAUGGAAUAUCAUAUUAAAUUAAUAAAAAAUAUGAAUACUGAAUAUCUAAAUAUUAUUAUUAAUAAUAAAUAAUAAUAAUAAUAUGGUAAUAGAACAUUUAAUGAUAAUAUAUAUUAGUUAUUAAUUAAUAUAUUAAUUAAUUAAAUAGAGAAUGCUGACAUGAGUAACGAAAAAAAGGUAUAAACCUUUUCACCUAAAACAUAAGGUUUAACUAUAAAAGUACGGCCCCUAAUUAAAUAAAUAAGAAUAUAAAUAUAUUUAAGAUGGGAUAAUCUAUAUUAAUAAAAAUAAUCUUAAAAUAUAUAUAUUAUUAUUAUUAAUUUAUUAAUUAAUUAAUUAAUAAUAUAUAUAAUUAUAUUUAUAUAUUAUAUAUAUAUAUAAUAUAAACUAAUAAAGAUCAAGAAAAGUAUUAAUGUAUACCGUAAUGUAGACCGACUCAGGUAUGUAAGUAGAGAAUAUGAAGGUGUAUUAGAGAAUUAAAGGGAAGGAACUCGGCAAAGAUAGCUCAUAAGUUAGUCAAUAAAGAGUAAUAAGAACAAAGUUGUACAACUGUUUACUAAAAACACCGCACUUUGCAGAAACGAUAAGUUUAAGUAUAAGGUGUGAACUCUGCUCCAUGCUUAAUAUAUAAAUUAAAUUAUUUAACGAUAAUUUAAUUAAAUUUAGGUAAAUAGCAGCCUUAUUAUGAGGGUUAUAAUGUAGCGAAAUUCCUUGGCCUAUAAUUGAGGUCCCGCAUGAAUGACGUAAUGAUACAACAACUGUCUCCCCUUUAAACUAAGUGAAAUUGAAAUCGUAGUGAAGAUGCUAUGUACCUUCAGCAAGACGGAAAGACCCUAUGCAGCUUUACUGUAAUUAGAUAGAUCGAAUUAUUGUUUAUUAUAUUCAGCAUAUUAAGUAAUCCUAUAAUUUUAGGUAAUCGUUUAGAUAUUAAUGAGAUACUUAUUAUAAUAUAAUGAUAAUUCUAAUCUUAUAAAUAAUAAUUAAUUAAUUAAUUAAUUAAUUAUUAAUACUUAAUAGAUAUAAUUUCUUAAGUAAUAUAUAAUAUAUUAUAUUAUUAUAUGUAUUAUAUAUAUAUAUAAGAGACAAUCUCUAAUUGGUAGUUUUGAUGGGGCGUCAUUAUCAGCAAAAGUAUCUGAAUAAGUCCAUAAAUAAAUAUAUAAAAUUAUUGAAUAAGAAUAAUAUAUAUUAUAUAUAUUAAUUAUAAAUUGAAAUAUAUUUAUAUUUUUAAUGAAUAUAUUUUAGUAAUAGAUAAAAAUAUGUACAGUAAAAUUGUAAGGAAAACAAUAAUAACUUUCUAUUUAUUAAUUUAUAAAAAAAGUAUAGAAAGAAUUAGAUUAAUAUAAUGGUAUAACUGUGCGAUAAUUGUAACACAAACGAGUGAAACAAGUACGUAAGUAUGGCAUAAUGAACAAAUAACACUGAUUGUAAAGGUUAUUGAUAACGAAUAAAAGUUACGCUAGGGAUAACAGGGUAAUAUAACGAAAGAGUAGAUAUUGUAAGUUAUGUUUGCCACCUCGAUGUCGACUCAACAUUUCCUCUUGGUUGUAAAAGCUAAGAAGGGUUUGACUGUUCGUCAAUUAAAAUGUUACGUGAGUUGGGUUAAAUACGAUGUGAAUCAGUAUGGUUCCUAUCUGCUGAAGGAAAUAUUAUCAAUUUAAAUCUCAUUAUUAGUACGCAAGGACCAUAAUGAAUCAACCCAUGGUGUAUCUAUUGAUAAUUUAAUAAUAUAUUUAUAAUAAAAAUUUUAUAAUAAAUAUAUUAUCUAUAUUAGUUUAUAUUUUUAUAUAAUUAUCAUAGUAGAUAAGCUAAGUUGAUAAUAAAUAAAUAUUGAAUACAUAUUAAAUAUGAAGUUGUUUUAAUAAGAUAAUUAAUCUGAUAAUUUUAUACUAAAAUUUAAUAAUUAUAGGUUUUAUAUAUUCUUUAUAUAUUAAUAAUAUUUUUUAUAAUAUUAAUAAAAUACUAAUUUAUCAGUUAUCUAUAUAAUAUCUAAUCUAUUAUUCUAUAUACU
rnacentral:rRNA from 1 species